rnacentral:rRNA from 1 species
AUUGAACGCUGGCGGCAGGCCUAACACAUGCAAGUCGAGCGGAUGAAGGGAGCUUGCUCCUGGAUUCAGCGGCGGACGGGUGAGUAAUGCCUAGGAAUCUGCCUGGUAGUGGGGGAUAACGUCCGGAAACGGGCGCUAAUACCGCAUACGUCCUGAGGGAGAAAGUGGGGGAUCUUCGGACCUCACGCUAUCAGAUGAGCCUAGGUCGGAUUAGCUAGUUGGUGGGGUAAAGGCCUACCAAGGCGACGAUCCGUAACUGGUCUGGGAGGAUGAUCAGUCACACUGGAACUGAGACACGGUCCAGACUCCUACGGGAGGCAGCAGUGGGGAAUAUUGGACAAUGGGCGAAAGCCUGAUCCAGCCAUGCCGCGUGUGUGAAGAAGGUCUUCGGAUUGUAAAGCACUUUAAGUUGGGAGGAAGGGCAGUAAGUUAAUACCUUGCUGCUUUGACGUUACCAACAGAAUAAGCACCGGCUAACUUCGUG